UACGGAGGGUGCGAGCGUUAUUCGGAAUCACUGGGCGUAAAGGGCGCGUAGGCGGCCUGGUAAGUCAGGGGUGAAAUCCCACGGCUCAACCGUGGAAUUGCACUUGAUACUGUUGACCUAGAGUCUGGCAGAGGGUGGCGGAAUUCCCGGUGUAGGGGUGAAAUCCGUAGAUAUCGGGAGGAACACCAGAGGCGAAGGCGGCCACCUGGGCCAAGACUGACGCUGAGGUGCGAAAGCGUGGGGAGCAAACAGG
rnacentral:rRNA from 1 species